CACGAGGUGGCUCGAAGGGAACUAAGCUUUGCGUGUGAAUUUAGGGUGUGAGGCUAAGAGCCCUACAGGCAGGCAGAGGAAGGUGUUGGAGGGAGGAGAGGCCGGUAUAGGACCUUUGCCUCGAAGAAAGCACCCAGGUGGAUGAAGACCUGAUCAUUGAAGUUCACCAGUUAUUUUUCUCAAGAAUGUGAAUAACAAUGGGAUUUGCACUCAUUGUAUUUUUAGAAUGGCUUCGCAUAAUUUUUAUGCAUUCUGUGGACGAUGAACACAAAUGCAGCUGUGGCCGUGCGUGGCCUGUGUGUGUUGAACGCAUUCCUGCCGUGCGGGAGCCGCCUACCCAGCGGAGCCUCAGAGUGUGAGUUCUCAGUCAAUAGCGUUUAUGGCAGCAUUUAGCUGACACAGAAGCACAUCUGAAAGUGGAGAGAGAGACACAUUUCCCCAUUGCUGGCCGAGUCCCACCACUUUGCUCAGCUAUGCACACCUGACAUCUCGUUUCAUUUUCAUACAAAAUCUGGAGAUAAUUAUUUCGGCCCCUCCCCAUGAGCC
rnacentral:lncRNA from 1 species